UCUUCAGUGAGGUACAUCCUUACCUGUUACUCCAUACGUGGAGUUUCAGAACAUGAUGAAUGGGUUGAUAUGAGAUAUGAUUAUAUCUCCCACUUCUAGGGAACUGCAACUCCCUAUGAAGACCAUUCUGAC